rnacentral:sRNA from 1 species
GUCCCGGAAGGCACAGCUGUGAUCUGGGAGGUGCUGAGCACCCACCUGCGACCCAUGGCGGGGGAGGGCCAAGGGCGCGAUGGAUGGAGCCCAGUCCUGAGAGGCCUGCAUGCAGUCGGCAGGAGCCGACCCUGGGAAUGGACGCGAUGACCUCGGAACACAGGGAUGUCCUCGUGCUGCUGCCCAGCCGGGAGCAACUGCGGCUGGCCGUGGGGGUGAAGGCCACUGGCCGCGAGCUUUUCCAGCAAGUGUGCAACGUGGUGAGCAUCAGAGACGCCCAGUUAUUUGGCCUCUGUGUGGUCAGAAACAAUGAGUAUAUAUUUAUGGAUUUGGAGCAAAAGCUCAGCAAGUACUUCUCAAAAGAUUGGAAGAAAGAAAUAAAUGAAGGAAAUGAGAAACCCAGAGCCCCCUUCGUGGCCUUCCUCCGAGUGCAGCACUACGUGGAAAACGGAAGGGUCAUAAGGUAACGGAUGCUGACUGUAAGGGGUGUUUCCUGGAAUAUUGAAAAUCUGCCACAUGACAUGGAAGUCCUGUGAAGGCCGCACAUUACAUUUGAGUUUAUUCUAAAAACAAAACAAAACAAAAAAAACAACAAAAAAACUCCACUAUAUCAGCUGUUUGCUUUGGGGUUAACACAGGAAUUCUAUUUAAUUCAAAGGUAUACAGACGGUGCCAUAAAUUGGUACUUCUUUUUCUUUUUCUUUUUCUUUUUCUUUUUUGUUUUGUUUUGUUUUGUUUUGAGAUGGAGUUUCACUCUUAUCACCCAGGCUGGAGUGCUAUGGCACAAUCUCGGCUCACUGCAACCUCCACCUCCUGGGUUCAAGCGAUUCUCCUGCCUUAGUCUCCAGAGUAGCUGGGAUUACAGGCGGGCGCCACCACACCUAGCUAAUUUUGUAUUUUCAGUAGAGACGGGCUUUCUCCGUGUUGGUCAAGCUGGUCUCAAACUCCCGACCUCAGGUGAUCCACCCGCCUCGGCCUCCCAAAGUGCUGGGAUUACAGGUGUGAGCCACCGCGCCCGGCCUAAAGUGGUACUUCCUCAAAUGCCAGGACUAGUACUCUCUAGGGUGGGUAUACCAUCCAGGGGUGGGUGAGGCUUCUGGAGGUUGCUGGGCUAAGGGCUGCUGCGCUUUCUGCAUGGCGGUUCUCACUGUUCACUGCCCACUCUGCAGGUGUCUAGUGGGAAGCUUUCCCUGACAGGAGUGGGUAAGUUGUACAUCUGGUGGGCUGCACUCUAAACCAACAGGGGCUGCUUCUUCCAGAGCUGCCUUAGAGCUUCUAGGGUAACCAAGACGUCCCUCAGGAGGAUCCUGAGACUUACUUCCAGAACAGAGCUUCAGGGGUGCGUGAACAGGGUUUUCCCUGGGGGAAAACCUAAGGGGGUUUCCCAGGAAUUCCCUAAGUAGGCACAAUCCUCGCCAGUUCCAAAAGGGAUGUGUGCAGUUGUGUGGAAGGUUCUAGGGAGUGAGGGGCAUGUGGUUGUGUGGGAGGGUUCUGGAGAGUGAAAGGUGUGUGGUUGUGUGGAGAGUCCUGGAGACACUGGUGUGUGGUUGUGUGGCAGGUUCUGGAGAGUGAGGGGUGUGUGAAUAUGUGGAAGGUUCUGGAUAGCCUUGGAGGGAAGGUCUGGAAGGUGUUGGGUUGAUGGAUGGAGCUACCUGGUGCUAUGGGGCCAGUUCGGGGGAAUUAUAUGAGAAGAUCUUGCACCUGCAUCUUGGGCGAGCCUCCGCCCGACCUCUGUGAUUAAUGAAUAUCAGCCAUGGCCAGGCCCCGUGCUGGGCGGUGAGCUCUGGGAGCCAGGUCUGUCCACAUCCAGGGAUUCGAGUCGCCCAGGCCCUGUGCACCUCCAGGGGUUUGAGUCGCCCAGGCUCUGUGCACCUCUCCUGCACUGGGGCCUGGUUUGGUGAAGGCCAAGCUCACUGGGGAAGGAGUGGGACCUCGGCAGGUGGAGCCUCAUCUAGUGGCUCCUUGGUAGCAGCAAGUCACCUGCGUCCCGCUCCAGGAAGAGUGCGGGCCUGUGCGGUGCCGGCCCUGCAGGGACACAGCUGUGGGUAUAACAAGACAGGAACUAGGUACCAGGGGCUCAGGACAGCCCUGGGAGCUGGCGUGGGGAGGGACAAGACAGGGCCAGAGGGGCCGGCAGUCCUCACGCCGGUCGUCCUGGAACUCACUCCCUGCCAACUUCCAGCGACCACAGAGCACGGCACCUGUACUACUGCCAUUUGAAGGAGCGCGUGCUGAGGUCACAGUGCGCCCACCAGGAGGAGGCCUACUUCCUGCUGGCCGCCUGUGCGCUGCAGGCCGACCUGGGUGAGCACCGGGAGCCAGCCCAUGCCGGGAGAUCAUCACCAAGAGGGGGAUUGACUACAUCCUCCAGCACGUGCCCGCCCUGCACCGUGAGCGCCAGGGCCUGAGCCCCAAGGAGGCCGUGCUGUGCUUCAUCCAGGAGGCCUGCCGGCUGGAGGACGUGCCCGUGCACUUCUUCAGGCUGCACAAGGAUAAGAAGGAAGGUCGCCCCACCGUGAUCCUGGGACUGGCCCUCAGGGGAGUGCACAUCUACCAGGAGGUGGACCGUGCUCCGCAGCUGCUGUACGACCUCCCCUGGCCCCACGUUGGGAAGCUGGCAUUUCUGGGGAAGAAGCUGGAGAUCCAGCUGGACGGGCUGCCUGCAGCACAGAAGCUGGUUUACUACACGGGCUGCACCUGGCGCUCCAGGCACCUGCUGCACCUGCUGCGCGCCAGCCACCAGCUCCACCUCCGCGUGCGGCCCACUCUGCAACAGCUGCGGCAGCGGGAGGAGGCAGAAGAGAAGCAGCGCUACCGGGAGUCCUAUAUCAGCGAUGGGCUGGAGCUGGACCUGGCCAGCAGGAGCUCCCCGGGCAGUGGGGUCAGCAGCCAGCACUGCCCCCACUGCCUUUCACGCCACUCCGCCGACAGCCACAGCAGUUCCUACACGUCAGGCAUCAAGGCCGACUCCUGGCUCAGGGAAUCCAGAGAGAUGUCUGUGGACGUGCCCUUGGAGGUCCACGGGCUCCAUGAGAAGGAGCCGUCCUCCAGCCCCAGGACCAGCCGCAGCCACCCCAGCACACAUGGUGACAGCCAAGCCACUCGCCAGGAGCCCUGUGCCAAGGUCAGGACCAGAGGCCAGAGCGCCGAGGCCAUGCACCAGAUCCAGGAAACGAAAGCCGGGGUCAGUGAGGAGCAGCACAGCUGCAGCCUGGACGACAUGCAUCUGCACCAGCUGGCCCUGCACCCAGCACCCGCCUCACUCAGCCAUACCUUCCACUGCGCCCUGGACUGCAGGCUGGCGGGCCCCUGCGAGACCAGGGCCACUCUCCCCAGCAAGAGGUCCAGCAACUGCCUCGCCCUGGACCUGUUCGGAGAGGCCCCACCACAGGAGUUUGUGGUGUAGGCACCACCCACCCAGCAGUGCCGUCUGCACCGCCAGGCUCAGCCCCUGUCCACUCCACUGCCACGUGGUCCUCGGCCCUUCCUGCCCGCCAGAUGCUGCCCGCACCUCUGCAGCCAGCACACGCCACAGGUUCACCUGUAAGAGGUGUGGAGCUGGCUCUGACAUCAACCUGGGAGGUGACAAACAGGUCCUGCACCUAAUGCCUGUCUGCGGUGCACCCGGGAGCUCCUUCCCUCAGGGUCUCCAGGGAGCAGGUUCAAGGUCUGGCUGUCGAGUGUCCAGAGAGCCAUGGUGUUGGCCCCUGAGGCAGCCUGUCACCCAUCCUAAUCUGGGAGAGAAGGUGACAUAGCUGGGCCCAGACCCUGGAGAGAGAGCUCUGUAGUUUCCCACACUGCCAGCUCCCCGAGAGACUGUCCCGAUGGGCACAGGCUGCCAGAGCUCCCGAGCCAGAGUUCAUGGUCGUCAUCACUGUGCAGGUCCCAGGCUCCUCCUAGACCUGAACCCCUCUCUGCAACUCCUGUUUGCAAGCACUGGCCCUGCCAGACAGAGGCCCCUCUUGCGGUGCAAGCCCAGCUCUGUCACCUGAGAUCCAGCCAGAGACCCUCCUCCACCAUCCACAGUCAAUGGCUGUGCUUUCCCUUCCAAGCCAGGGCUUCCAAAGACCCCACUGCCCCGGAGCUGAAGCCAGCUCUGCUCCCAUCUCAGCCAUGAGGUGUCAGGACCUGCUCUGCUCACAGGUGGCUUCCUUAAGCCAUUGCCCUGGCUGGGGUGGGGCUGGUGCAGCCCAGCUGGUAGAGGGGCGAGGCUUCGGUGACAGAUGGAGAGUGGGGUACUGGCUGUGCGUGGCACCUGCUCUGAUCCGGUGGGCUCCACGGGUAAUGCAACCUUGGUUCCGUGGGCUCUGGAAGGCCACCAGGGUAGGGUCUCCCCAGGGCUCCUCUCCCUGCACAACACCCUGCACACGUGCAAACCUGCUGUCCUCUGCGUUUAGAGGAACGGCCCCUGCAUCCCUGCUAGUCUCAGGCCCAUCCCAGAGCACUGAUAGGCCACAGUGGUUCAGCCCUAUGCCCUGAACACCACUGCCCCCUUCACUGGCUGUGUGUGGUGAAGACCAGGCCACACCACCCUCCAGCUCACUGGAGACAAGCAUGAGCUUGAGCCCCAUGGCCUGGUGUAGGCCUGCGUGCAUUGAGGCCGCCUCUUUGACGGGUCCAUCCAGGGGGACCCUCUCCUUUCUGUGAAAGGGAAUCAUGUGUGUGCCCCAGGCACGUGUAAUAAAGAACCCGAGCAGAUGCC